rnacentral:misc_RNA from 1 species
UCCAGUUUAUCACCGGCAGUAUCGUUAAAGUUCCCACCUUUACGUGCUGGCAACUAACAACAAGGGUUGCGUUCGUUGCGGGACUUAACCCAACAUCUCACGACACGAACUGACGACAGCCAUGCAGCACCUGUGUGUGGUCCGGCCGAACCGACGACUCCCAUUACGGAGUCUACGACCACCAUGUCAAGAGCUGGUAAGGUUCUUCGCGUAGCUUCGAAUUAAACCACAUACUCCACCGCUUGUGCGGGUCCCCGUCAAUUUCUUUGAGUUUUAAUCUUGCGACCGUACUCCCCAGGCGGGAUACUUAAUGCGUAUGCUUAGACACUGAUGGGCAACCCCACCAACAUCGAGUAUCCAUCGUUUACAGCGUGGACUAC